AAUGAACGCUGGCGGCGUGGUUAAGACAUGCAAGUCGAACGGUUUUUAUUGAAGCGCAAGUGGAUAUAAAAGCAGUGGCGAACGGGUGCGUAACACGUGAACAAUCUACCUUCAAAUGGGGAAUAGCUCGCCGAAAGGCGAAUUAAUACCGCAUGUGGUUGCUUCUCGCAUGAGAGGCAUACCAAAGUCAGGGACCGCAAGGCCUGACGUUAGAAGAGGAGUUCGCGGCCUAUCAGCUAGUUGGCGAGGUAACGGCUCACCAAGGCUAAGACGGGUAGCUGGUCUGAGAGGAUGAUCAGCCACACUGGGACUGAGACACUGCCCCAGACUCCUACGGGGGGCGUCAGUAACGAAUCUUCCGCAAUGCACGAAAGUAGUGACG
rnacentral:rRNA from 1 species